rnacentral:rRNA from 1 species
AUGUCUGCAGGUCGCUCUCAGCACACGGCUACCUCGAGCAUGCGGCGCCGGCAAGAGGCCGAGCGCGCCGUGGCAGAGGAGCGUGAGCGAGCGGCUGCUGCGGCGGCAAGAGUGUCGAGGCUGGCUGCAGCGGAGCUGGCAGCAGCCAGAGCGGAGGUAGAAGCAACCAGGGCGGAGGUAGAAGCAGCAGCAGCAGCAGAAGCAGCCCGUGAGGCUACGGCGGAUGCCAAGGCACUCCGCGGCAGCCCCGGCAGCUCCAGCAGCUCCGCGCCUGCGGACGACGGCGCCGACGCAGAUCGCGCCAAAGUGGCGCAGGAGCGGACGGCGCAAUGGGCAGCCGAGCACGCCCGCGCUCCAGGUGGAGGCGCGCACCGCGACGGCGGCUGCAACGACCAGGACCGCGGCCUCUACGAGGUCCGGACUGUGGUCAGGGAUGUUGGUUCCAGUGUUGGGUGGCCUACCCUCACUAAAACCAACUACGUCGAGUGGGUCGGGAUCAUGAAGGUCAGGCUCCAGGUGCGGCGCAUGUGGGAGGCAGUCCAAGACAGCAGCGUCGACCACCUAGAGGAUCGACGGGCACUGGACGCCCUCAUCACCGCAGUCCCGCCCGAGAUGCAGUUCUCGCUUUCCAACAAGCGGACUGCCAAGGAGGCUUGGGACGCCAUCGCCGCAGCACGCAUCGGCAGCGACCGUGCUCGCAAGUCCACCCUGCAGGCACUUCGUAAGGAGUGGGAGAACCUGGGCUUCAAGCCAGGUGAGGACGUUGAUGACUUUGCUCUCCGUCUCAACACUCUGCUGCAGAAGAUGGUGAAGUUUGGCGAUGCCACCUACACCGAGGAGAGAGCUGUCGAGAAGCUUUUUCGGUGCAUUCCCGAGAAGUACAAGCAGAUGGCUCGCUCGAUCGAGUCGUUGUUGGACCUCUCCACGAUGACGAUCGAGGAGGCGAUAGGUCGACUCAAGGUCGUCGACACCGACGAGCCACAGCCCCCCUGA